AGAAUCAACGCUGGCGGCGUGCCUAACACAUGCAAGUCGAACGAGAAAGUGGAGCAAUCCAUGAGUAAAGUGGCGACCGGGUGAGUAACACGUGACUACCUACCCUUGAGUGGGGGAUAACCUCGGGAAACCGAGGCUAAUACCGCAUAAUAUCGAAAGAUCAAAGGAGUAAUCCGCUUUUGGAGGGGUCGCGGCUGAUUAGCUAGUUGGUAGGGUAAUGGCCUACCAAGGCGAAGAUCGGUA
rnacentral:rRNA from 1 species